GAAAAAAAAGGAAAUUUCCAAAACACUUUGUUUGAGAAUUGAAAGAAAAACCCUAGUCCCUCAUUUCCCCCCAAUUCCCAGCCCAGCCGUCUCUUGUGAAGUGUUUCUCGUGUUUCUCGUUUCCCCCCAAUUCAAAACCCUAAUCCUUCAUUUCCCUCACCAAUUUCUCGCGUUUUUAGGUGAAUCGAUCGAUUUGUUGGAUAAGGAGCUUUUCUGUAUCGAGGAAUAAGAUUUUUUGAUCGAGUUUAUUCUCUUGUGAAGUGUUUCUCUUCCCUUACUCCUGCAGCGGCGGCAGUGGUGAUGGGGAUGGUUCGGCGGUGUUCAGUCUACAAUGACAUUAUCAUCACUUGCUCUUCAUUCAGUCUCACUAAAGAAGACACCUUUAAUCAACUGCUCCUUCUGAAACUGCUAUGUUUUCUGAUUAUAAGCCUUCUUUCGCUUUUCUUUUUCCUGGUCAGGCUGUUAUAACUAGUCACUACAAAACAUAUAACUGUCCCCAGUAUCUGGCAAGCCAAGAUCAUUUGCUUGGCCAAAGUAACCGUGUAUAGAUAAUAUCACAAUGCUGAAGAUUGUUGGAAGCCUGCCAAAGAAUUUCUCCACGCUCACUGGGUCUGGUGCCUGCAACACCUCAAAGAGAGAAUGCAUAAACUCUUUAACUCUUGCUGAGGUUAAGCAUCCAGAAGUUGCUUAGUUUCUAGGAGGUCAGCUACUACAUUUUUGGUGUUGUGAAGGCUGAGAAGAUUACAUUAGUGAUUAGCGCCGCCAACAUUGAAUGCGAGUCAUACUGGCCAAGCUUGUUUGCCAAGCUCCUUGAAAAGAAGAGCAUUGAGGACCUUAUCAUGAAUGUGCUUGCGGAAUCCAACUAUUCAAACAAUUGAAGAAUAAUAUGAGGAAGAAAAUAGCAUGACACUAACAAAGACUGAGGCAAUUGAAAAAUGGAAUGACACUAUUCAGACUAUUAGAUAUCUUUUUUUUUUCUCUCUUGUAGUUUCCAAUUUCUUUUUACUGUAACAAUUGUGAAUAACCAACGAGACAUGUUAGUUGAUUAAGGUGUUUAUAAAUGACAAUUAUUUUUUUUAUCUAUAUAGUAGCUUUUUAUUGAUUCAUUAAAUUGUUUUGUUUGUUUACUUUUAGUAUUAAUAUAGUAUAUAUAUGUAUUAAUUCAUAAAUCUUAAACUGUAAAUGUGUAGUUGCCCCUAAUAGUUUUAAUAAAAAUGUCAAAAGUUGCACCUAAAAACAUCCUUUAGCGACUAAC